rnacentral:rRNA from 1 species
AGGUUACUGCUAUCGGUGUUCGCCUAAGCCAUGCGAGUCAUAUGUAGCAAUACAUGGCGUACUGCUCAGUAACACGUGGAUAACCUGCCCUUGGGUCCGGCAUAACCCCGGGAAACUGGGGAUAAUUCCGGAUAACGCAUAUAUGCUGGAAUGCUUUCUGCGUAAAAUGGAUUCGUCUGCCCAAGGAUGGGUCUGCGGCCUAUCAGGUAGUAGCGGGUGUAAUGUACCUACUAGCCUACGACGGGUACGGGUUGUGAGAGCAAGAGCCCGGAGAUGGAUUCUGAGACAUGAAUCCAGGCCCUACGGGGCGCAGCAGGCGCGAAAACUUUACAAUGCGGGAAACCGUGAUAAGGGGACACCGAGUGCCAGCAUCCUAUGCUGGCUGUCCGGGUGUGUAAAAUACACCUGUCAGCAAGGGCCGGGCAAGACCGGUGCCAGCCGCCGCGGUAACACCGGCGGCCCGAGUGGUGAUCGUGAUUAUUGGGUCUAAAGGGUCCGUAGCCGGUUUGGUCAGUCCUCCGGGAAAUCUGACAGCUCAACUGUUAGGCUUUCGGAGGAUACUGCCAGACUUGGAACCGGGAGAGGUAAGAGGUACUACAGGGGUAGGAGUGAAAUCUUGUAAUCCCUGUGGGACCACCUGUGGCGAAGGCGUCUUACCAGAACGGGUUCGACGGUGAGGGACGAAAGCUGGGGGCACGAACCGGAUUAGAUACCCGGGUAGUCCCAGCCGUAAACGAUGCUCGCUAGGUGUCAGGCAUGGCGCGACCGUGUCUGGUGCCGCAGGGAAGCCGUGAAGCGAGCCACCUGGGAAGUACGGCCGCAAGGCUGAAACUUAA